UAAGGUGACUAUACUGAGGAUGCUCCACCUGUUCCCAUUCCGAACACAGAAGUGAAAUUCCUCAAGGCCCAUGAUAGUUGGAAAUAUCCAGCGAAAGUAGGUAGUCGCCCUAC
rnacentral:rRNA from 3 species